UGAGUCAGGGCUUGAACCACUGAUUGAGCACCUGGGAAAAGGACUCGGUCAGCCCUGGGAGCACAGAUGAAGGCAAUUCAGCUGUGUGACCUGAAGGGGUGGAGCCUGACUGCACCUUUCUUAGACCUCAUUUAAGGGCUGACUGCCACUGGGGAAAGGUCUCUAGUUGGAGAUCCCUCCUUUGUGGAGUCUUUCCUGCAAGCCUAUUUCUUUGGAGAAGGGUUGUGGUAGAUCUCGAGAAGAUUCAGAAAAUGGAUAGCAAGGAUGAUCCAAGUUUGUUAAGCAGGAUGAAGAAUCACAAUGAAGUCCAUGUAUCCUUGUGAUGAUGCUUGUCUCCCCACUGUGGAGCCUCUGCUGAAAGUAAGAUACAGACUCAGCCCUCUGAGUUUCAGCCCACCAACUUUGCAUUUCAUUACUGCUAUCCCAUGCAUCUUUACUUCUGAAAGCAAUGUCAAUAAUGCAGCAACGUUUUAGUUGCUGCUGAGCAGCACUGCACAGAUCCAAAGACGUGUCAACUUCUUCAACUGCCAGUAAAGAGAACUGAGGGGUCACAAAGAGCUAGGAUGGGACAGAACCAGGACAACUGACCUAAACUCGCCAAAGGAAUAUUACAUAUCAUGUGACCUCAUGUGAAAAAAUGUAAAAACAAAACAAGAAAAAGGUGGGGAGUUUGUCAGGCAAGCAGCUGCUGCUUGGGGAUUGGCUGAGCAUCGGUCAGCAAUUGUUUUGUGCACCACUUGUUUUGUGUGUAUAUGUAUUAUAUCUUUAUUGUUAUUAUUCUCCUUUCAUCUUCCUUUCCUGUCUUAGUAAAUAUUUUUUAUCUCAAUCCACAAGUUCUGCUUUGUUAGUUUGUAUUUUUUUUUCUGAUUCUCUUCCCCCAUCCCAGGGGGGUUGGGAAGGAUUGGGAGUAAGUGAUUGACUGUGUGAUGCUCAGCUGCUGCUGGAUUAAACCACAACAGAUGUUCUGUCUGAGAUCCUAUCAUUCAUGACUAAAUCAAUGUACAAAUUCAAAAGAGACUAAUAGCUAAAUGGGGCUUAUAACAAAGUGUGUAGUGUGUAACAAUAAUGUGACAGGGUUAUAAAACCUGCUGGAAAGGAAUAAUCAAAAUUCUGAUUUCAAAACCAGCAUUCUAGGAUUCUUUUUUUACUUUUUUUAAUUUUUUUUUAUUAUGUUU